rnacentral:rRNA from 3 species
UAAGUCAGCCACGAAUAGGCUAUCCCAACUAACGGCGGGAAAGACUCCCCGGAGGGUGUAAGACCCGUGUGGGCGCGUGUCAAAGCUGUGUGGGCUCGGCCUCUUUUCCCUGAGAGUCGCGUUGCUUGAGCAUGCAGCGCUAAGCAGGUCGUAAACUCGAUCUAAGGCUAAAUAUCUCCACAGAACCGAUAGCGAACAAGUACCGUGAGGGAAAGUUGAAAAGCACUCUGGAGAGAGAGUCAAAAGACCGUGAAACCGCUCAGAGUAUAAGCCCAUGGCAGCUUGGAAGGCAUAUCGCUAGCGGGGCAUCGGUCUUCCUUCGCGGGGAGUCGGUGUUACCUUGCUUCUGUUGUGGCUCGUCAAGGUAGGGGGGUCAGGUCCACAUCCCGCCGUCGUGUGGGAAGUUCUUGGGCGUGUCGUUGCUUUGCGGUUGACUUCGGUUGAUCGUGGGGUCUUCGCGCUUGGGGCUUCUUUAGACACGGACGUUCAGACUCAGAGGCAAGACGUGAUAACUAGCCCACCACGGCACGUUGUGAGGUCACCCUCAGGCUCAGCUUUCGAUUGUGGUCCUUGACGCCGAGCAAGCACAAUGCGUGUCGCAGAUGUUCCUAACCUGACAACGCUUGUCGGAUCGUGGAACGACACGCGCUCAACAGUCAGGACCGGGCGAUGACAGAGUUCUGGUACGAUCCUCUUGCGACGAGCCGGCUUCUGGCCGAGUUCCGAUGCUCAGGUCUCCCGCAUGUGCCGCGGGAGAUCGCUUUGACGGUCUGGA